rnacentral:rRNA from 1 species
CCUGCCCAAGAGAUCGGGAUAACACCUGGAAACAGAUGCUAAUACCGGAUAACAACAGAUGAUGCCUAUCAACUGUUUAAAAGAUGGUUCUGCUAUCACUCUUGGAUGGACCUGCGGUGCAUUAGCUAGUUGGUAGGGUAACGGCCUACCAAGGCGAUGAUGCAUAGCCGAGUUGAGAGACUGAUCGGCCACAUUGGGACUGAUACACGGCCCAAACUCCUACGGGAGGCAGCAGCC